GCUAUUAUUAUUUUUUUGAUUGUAUUUUGACAUCUAAAAUGAUAUUGGAAAUGGAUGACAUGGGAAAAUUGAUAACUCCAUAUGAUUAAAACCUAGGAUUAUGAUCAUUAAUCCUCAAAAAAGUGGGUGAAGAUGAAAAAGGAUUAAAAAAAAAAAUGUUUUUAUACCCAAUUUUGAGAAGAAAUGGUAUUUAGUGUCAAUCUGUUAACCAAUAUUUUGCAUAAAGACAUAAACCCUUAAAAAUAUAAUUAAUGUCUCAAAUAAUUAAGAAAAACCUUCAUAGUAUUAAACUCACUAUUGGAAUGCCCAAUUUCGCACUAAUGUAUUAAGAAUUAAUUUAACUUCUUCGCCUAUCUCCACCAUGGUAAUAGUCAUUUCAAACAAUAUUUUUUUCAUACUAGGAAGAAUUUCACAUUAUUUUUAUCAUACAUUUUUCCAGUCUCACUCUUUGAAAUCGGUUG
rnacentral:lncRNA from 1 species